ACAGAGGAAAGGAGUGGGACAAGACUCUCCCAGCGGUUCACAGCCAGCUGUGAGGACAGACUCCACACACUUUUGAAAAGAACCCAGGCUGCCACCAGAACCCUUUUCUAAGGGAGCUGGGCUACUAUGCCUGAAUCCCACAGUAAAUAAAGGGUUGAGAAGAAAAGAAUUUUUAACGUCACAUUACCAAAACUCCUGGCCCCCAGAUGGCUGAUGCUAACAGCUAAUAAGAGACUUCCCUGGUAGCUCAGAUGGUAAAGCGUCUGUCUACAAUGCAGGAGACCUGGAUUCCAUCCCUGGGUUGGGAAGAUCGGCUGGAGAAGGAAAUGGCAAUCCACUCUAGUACUACUGACUGGAAAAUCCCACUGACAGAGGAGCCUGGAGGUGGCCUGUCUCACAGAGGGCACACAGGUGACCCAAGAGCUGUGUUUCACAGAUCCUCUGUAUUGCAACGGAUGAAGAUGAGCCCUGGGCGGCCUUUGU
ensembl:lncRNA